UACGUAGGCAGCGAGCGUUGUUCGGAAUUACUGGGCGUAAAGAGUGUGUAGGCGGUGUUCCCAGUCUGUUGUGAAAUCUCCCGGCUUAACUGGGAGGGUGCAGCGGAAACUAGAAUGCUGGAGGGUGGGAGAGGUAAGCGGAAUUCCUGGUGUAGCGGUGAAAUGCGUAGAUAUCAGGAGGAACACCUGUGGUGUAGACAGCUUACUGGACCACUUCUGACGCUGAGACACGAAAGCGUGGGUAGCAAACAGG
rnacentral:rRNA from 1 species